UACGUAAGGACCGAGCGUUGUCCGGAAUCAUUGGGCGUAAAGGGUACGUAGGCUGUUAUCUAAGUUAGAAGUCAAAGGCUAUAGCUCAACUAUAGUAAGCUUUUAAAACUGGAUAACUUGAGAGAUGGAAGGGAAAGUGGAAUUCCUAGUGUAGCGGUGAAAUGCGCAGAUAUUAGGAGGAAUACCGGUGGCGAAGGCGACUUUCUGGCCAUUAUCUGACGCUGAGGUACGAAAGCGUGGUUAGCAAACA
rnacentral:rRNA from 1 species